CUACGAAGGGGGCAAGCGUUGUUCGGAAUAACUGGGCGUAAAGCGCACGUAGGCGGAAUGUUAAGUUAGAGGUGAAAUCCCAGGGCUCAACCCUGGAACGGCCUUUAAUACUGGCAAUCUAGAGACCGAGAGAGGUGAGUGGAAUUCCGAGUGUAGAGGUGAAAUUCGUAGAUAUUCGGAGGAACACCAGUGGCGAAGGCGGCUCACUGGCUCGGUACUGACGCUGAGGUGCGAAAGCGUGGGGAGCAAACAGGAUUAGAAACCCCAGUAGUCC
rnacentral:rRNA from 1 species